rnacentral:rRNA from 1 species
ACUAAAGCUAGCCCAAUCGACCACAAAUUCAACUAUUACAUGAACAUAAAACAAAACAUUUACUUAGUAAAAGUAUAGGAGAUAGAAAUUACAAUUGGCGCUAUAGAGAAAGUACCGCAAGGGAACGAGUGAAAGAAUAUAUUAAAAGUAAAAAAAAGCAAAGUUUAACCCUUCUACCUUUUGCAUAAUGAGCUAGCUAGCAGACCUUAGCAAAGAGAACUUAAGUUAAGCCCCCCGAAACCAGACGAGCUACCUACGAGCAGCAUAACAGAGCGAACUCGUCUAUGUGGCAAAAUAGUGAGAAGACUUAUAGGUAGUGGUGAAAAGCCUAACGAGCCUGGUGAUAGCUGGUUGUCCAGAAAAGAAUUUUAGUUCAGCUUUAAUUUAUACAGACAAGCCCUCAAAACUCUAAUGUAAAAUUAAACGUUAGUCUAAAGAGGUACAGCCCUUUAGACGCAGGAUACAACCUUAACUGGAGAGUAAGUUCAUAAUCUAACCAUAGUUGGCCUAAAAGCAGCCAUCAAUUAAGAAAGCGUUCAAGCUCAACCAUACAUUACAACAUUAAUACCUAAAACUAACCCAACUCCCAGACUUUAACUGGACUAAUCUAUUAACAAAUAGAAGAAAUAAUGCUAGUAUGAGUAACAAGAAAUAGUUCUCCCGGCACAGGUUUAUAUCAGAUCGGAUGCCCACUGAUAGUUAACAAAAUAAUAAUAAUAAUUAAAAAAUAGAACAAUUAUUAAGUAAACUGUUAACCCAACACAGGAGUGCCAAACAGGGAAAGAUUAAAAGAAGUAAAAGGAACUCGGCAAACACAAGCCCCGCCUGUUUACCAAAAACAUCACCUCUAGCAUGAAAAGUAUUGGAGGCACUGCCUGCCCAGUGACGCAAGUUAAACGGCCGCGGUAUCCUGACCGUGCAAAGGUAGCAUAAUCAUUUGUUCUCUAAUUAAGGACUUGUAUGAAUGGCCACACGAGGGUUUAACUGUCUCUUACUUCUAAUCAGUGAAAUUGACCUUCCCGUGAAGAGGCGGGAAUAAUACAAUAAGACGAGAAGACCCUAUGGAGCUUCAAUUAACCAGUUCAAUAAGGUGUAAUACUAAACCCAACCAGGGGAUAAAAAACCUAAAACUGAACCGGCAAUUUAGGUUGGGGUGACCUCGGAGUAAAAAACAACCUCCGAGAGAUUUCAGUCGAGACCUACAAGUCAAAACCUGAAAAAAAUUUAAUUGAUCCAACAACCAUGUUGAUCAACGGAACAAGUUACCCUAGGGAUAACAGCGCAAUCCUAUUUAAGAGUCCAUAUCGACAAUAGGGUUUACGACCUCGAUGUUGGAUCAGGACAUCCCAAUGGUGCAGAAGCUAUUAAUGGUUCGUUUGUUCAACGAUUAAAGUCCUACGUGAUCUGAGUUCAGACCGGAGCAAUCCAGGUCGGUUUCUAUCUAUUAUAUAUUUCUCCCAGUACGAAAGGACAAGAGAAAUAAGGCCAACUCUACAGGAGAGCCUUAAAAUUAAUAGAUGAUAUCAUCUCAAUCUAGUAAUUUAUAACCACGCAAGCCCAAGAAAAGGGCUU